AAAUAUAAAAAGGAACGAAAACUUUUGCAUAUCAUUUUACUCGGAGAUUGGCUGGAUUUAUUUGAGCGUGUACGUUUUGUUUAUGAUUAGUGGAAUGAAAAAAUGAAAUUGAUGUUGUGGUACAGGAAGUGUCCCUUCAUUACGGAUUCUGCGAGUGGGCAAGCGGCGGAUCAUAGGCGGCUGUAUCGUGAAGGAAGUUUAUGGUAAGACCACAUAAGACUGAAUAUCGUUCGGCAGCUAUUAUUGGCCUAUCUUACAAAUUAGAUACAAUAAUAACUGAUACAGGUUCACACAUAAACGACUAACUUCGAUUCACCCACUCAAGAAAAAACAAGUUGUAUAUAAGUCAUAUAGGAGACACAUCAAGCUCCCUUUCCUGGUGGCUGAAAUUACACCGUGCUCAGCGAGUAUAGUGAGGUGCAUCAUCGGCGCAUUUGAUUUUAACGUCAAUGCAUCAGUGACUAACAAUAAUGACACACUGGUGGUAUUCGUACCAUGGUACAAGUUGUACCACUAGUGUGUCACCUUGUACCAUGCUGGUACAACGUGGAAAACCAUGGUACAAUAUGUACUAAGGUAUAUAACCGUGGUACUUGUACCACCAGUGUGUCUUUAGUAUAAGAAGCAGCAAAGCGCCAAACAACAAUACUAACACAUUAAAUUUUGGAUUGAAUGAAAACUAAUUUGAAAUCGAACAAAAACUGAAUUAAAACAAAAUUUAAAUUGAAUUCAAAUGAAAUUCAAAUAUAAUUAAAAUAAAUUGGAAUUAAAUUCAAAAUUAAAUUAAAAUUAUUGUUGAAUCACAUUGAAUUGAUAUUAAAGUAAAAUUAAGUUCAAACUGAUUGAACAUUAAGCCUAUACUAAAAUACAAUAAAAUUGAAAUCGUAUAGAUAAAAUAAAUUGUAGGACAUAAAGUUGUAUUGUAUUUUUAUUGUAAUAUUAGAGUGAAAUGUAUUCUAAAUUUCAUUAUAUUUCUUCUGUAAAACAAUAAAAAAAAGUGUGA